rnacentral:tRNA from 1 species
UUUAUAGCUCAGUGGUAGAGCACUUACCUAGCAAAUACGAGGCCCUGGGUUCGAUUCCCAGCACUACAA